CCACAUCAUUUAAUUAUUAUUUUUAUUAUUUAAAAAUCGUUUUAAAAUUAAAAAAAUUAAAUUAAAUAAAAAUUAAAAUUAAACCUCAUUAUAAUUUUAAAUAUACAAAAUAAUAAUAAUAAUAAAUUAACAUUAAAAAUUUAAACAGAAUAAAAAAAAAAUCAAAACAAACCUAAAACUGAAAAUCGUUCUCCUCUCUCUCUUCUCACAAACCUCUCCGUGAGACAACAACCCACUCAACCAACCCAGGUUUCUUCUCCGGCGCACCUCCGCCCGACCUCCGUGAGCCAUUCCACCACAGCCGAUGGACGAGAUUCCGACCACCCCUAGGAUCGCAAGCGUCAGACCACACCGAUCGAAGCUUGUUCUCCCUCUCGAUCUCGCGGUUGUUGUUGGUGAGGAGGAAGAAGAUGAUGACGAUUGGGGGGUGUUCUCUGGUUUGCACUUCUGGUUCUCAGAAGAAGGUGAGGGAGAAGAAGUUGACCCCCUAAAUCGCAGAAGAGAAGGGGGAGAAGAACAGGAUUUUAGUGUUAUCAGAUUUUCUAGGUUUGGAAUUUAAUUUUGUAUUUGAUUUAAUUUAAGUGUUUAUGUUUAGUUAUUUUGUAAGAAUUAGAUUGUUAUAUGAUUUUUAUUAUUAAUCGGUUUUGUAGGAAUUAGAUUUUAAGUUUUAUGUGUU